CCGGCCGCCAUGUUGGAGCUCAGGAGCUGCGGCGAGCUGAGGUGUCGGUGGCUUCUUGGAGCUUAAAGAUAGUGAAAAGGUUCUACAAGUGAGCAGUCUUCACUGCGACCAACGCUGAAUGACCUGUGCUAAAAUACUGCGGAUGCUCGAGAGUUUUGUGCGGUAGACUUGGCUCAAUGAUAAGGAUUCACCUAGUGUACUCAAGACCCUGGAUUGGAUGGUUUGUUUGCAUCAGUGAAAAUACAUACUAUGCCUGUGUUAGAAGUUAAUAAAAUUCAGCUGUUAAGUAGCUCUUCCUAUCAAAAAGCUAGGCAGGCUGGUUUCUAAAUUGCCAAUACACAAUAGGAACAGUCAAAGAUGUGUGAAGAUGGCAAUUAAAAAGCGUUUUUCAAAGACUCAGCUUAUGUUGUGAGAAGAAGCUAUGGAAAUGGCAAGAGCCUUCUUCCAUUUAUUCAACAACGUAAAAGCCUCAGAAAUAACACUGUUUUUCUGCCUGUAAUGGUAAGUACUAGAAAGGAAACAAAAUGUUUACUGUUUUCUUUCUUUCCUUUGAUUUAACUGUAGAAAUGGUUCAGGUUAAUGAAUCUCUGUUUUAUUAGACAUUUAUAUGAGCAAUAACCUUAGUUUGAGUUAUGUGGGAGACUGAUUUAUUGAAAGAAAAAUAACAGAUUGGGUAGAAAUAGUGUGAAAAAUGGGACCAGUAUAAUGUAAUGGGUUCUAUAAUUUGUUGUGUGACAUAUUCUAGCUUUAUAUAUAAUGGAUAUUCAACCAUAACUGAAUGGAAAAAAUAUCAGUGUCUUUUAGAAAGACUGUACAAAUUAAGUCUUAACUUUCAUAGGAAAAAAUUCCAUUAGAAACCUAAGGGAAAACAUAACCAGGAAAAAAAAAAUGCAUCUUUCAGACCUCUUCUUUGGGUAAGGUAAACACCACAGUCUACAUUUCCUUAAGCUGACACAGGUGGACAUACCAUUGGAUUUAGGAACUAUUUGUUUGUUUGUUUGUUUGUUUGUUUUUUUAGGUUUUUUUUUUCU